rnacentral:tRNA from 1 species
GGCGACAUAGCCAAGUGGUAAGGCCGUGGACUGCAAAUCCACUACCCCCAGUUCAAAUCUGGGUGUCGCCUCCA